rnacentral:rRNA from 1 species
CAGCAGUAGCCGCGGUAAUACGGAAGGUCCGGGCGUUAUCCGGAUUUAUUGGGUUUAAAGGGAGCGUAGGCCGCCCCUUAAGCGUGUUGUGAAAUGCGGGUGCUCAACAUCCGACUUGCAGCGCGAACUGGGGGGCUUGAGUGCGCCGAAAGUAGGCGGAAUUCGUGGUGUAGCGGUGAAAUGCUUAGAUAUCACGAAGAACUCCGAUUGCGAAGGCAGCUUACUGUAGCGCAACUGACGCUGAUGCUCGAAAGCGUGGGUAUCGAACAGGAUUAGAUACCCGCGUAGUCCCUGUCUCUUAUAC